rnacentral:rRNA from 1 species
CCGUAGCCCAAGAGAUCGGGAUAACACCUGGAAACAGAUGCUAAUACCGGAUAACAACAGAUGAUGCCUAUCAACUGUUUAAAAGAUGGUUCUGCUAUCACUCUUGGAUGGACCUGCGGUGCAUUAGCUAGUUGGUAGGGUAACGGCCUACCAAGGCGAUGAUGCAUAGCCGAGUUGAGAGACUGAUCGGCCACAUUGGGACUGAGACACGGUCCAAACUCCUACGGGAGGCAGCAGCU